rnacentral:rRNA from 1 species
GGCAGUCAUAACACAUGCAAGUCGAGCGGUAACAGAAGAAUAGCUUGCUAUUCUGCUGACCAGCGGGGGACGGUGUGAGUAACGCGUAGGGAAUCUGCCCGGUAGCGGGGGAUAGCCCAGAGAAAUUUGGAUUAAUACCGCAUACGCCCUACGGGGGAAAGGAGGGGAUCUUCGGACCUUCCACUAUCGGAUGAGCCUGCGUGAGAUUAGCUAGUUGGUGGGGUAAAGGCCUACCAAGGCGACGAUCUCUAGCUGGUCUGAGAGGAUGAUCAGCCACACCGGAACUGAGACACGGUCCGGACUCCUACGGGAGGCAGCAGUGGGGAAUAUUGCACAAUGGGCGAAAGCCUGAUGCAGCCAUGCCGCGUGUGUGAAGAAUAACUUAGGGUUGUAGAGCACUUUCAGCGAGGAGGAAAGGUUAGUCGCUAAUAUCGGCUAGCUGUGACGUUACUCGCAGAAGAAGCACCGGCUAACUCCG